ACCGGCCUGCAAAGCAGGUAUGGCGAUCUUCGCUGGUUGAACCAACAUUCAUUGAACCAGGGGUUUGGCUCGUAUAUAUGGCUCGGUGUGCUAUGUCCGCCAGUCCGGAAAGCCUAAAGAGCCACGGCUGAAUCCCGAACGUCUUAGGACGGGUUCACCAGCGCGUCGCGGUACGGCCCCGUGGGUCGGUC
rnacentral:other from 1 species